GACGAACGCUGGCGGCGUGCUUAACACAUGCAAGUCGAACGGUGAAGCGCCUUCCUUUUUGGUGGGUGUGGAUGAGUGGCGAACGGGUGAGUAACACGUGAGUAACCUGCCCCCUUCUUCUGGAUAACCGCAUGAAAGUGUGGCUAAUACGGGAUAUUCUGGGUCUGUCGCAUGAUGGGUCUGGGAAAGAUAUUGUUUCGGUGGGGGAUGGGCUCGCGGCCUAUCAGCUUGUUGGUGGGGUGAUGGCCUACCAAGGCGGUGACGGGUAGCCGGCCUGAGAGGGUGGACGGUCACACUGGGACUGAGACACGGCCCAGACUCCUACGGGAGCCAGCAGUGGGGACUAUUGCACAAUGGGCGCAAGCCUGUUGCAGCGACGCCGCGUGAGGGAUGGAGGCCUUCGGGUUGUGAACCUCUUUCGCCAGUGAAGCAGGCCUGCCUCGUUUGUGGGUGGGUUGACGGUAGCUGGAUAAGAAGCGCCGGCUAACUACGUG
rnacentral:rRNA from 1 species